UACGUAGGGUGCGAGCGUUAAUCGGAAUUACUGGGCGUAAAGCGUGCGCAGGCGGCUUCGCAAGUCAGACGUGAAAUCCCCGGGCUUAACCUGGGAAUGGCGUUUGAAACUACGGAGCUGGAGUGUGGCAGAGGAAGGUGGAAUUCCACGUGUAGCGGUGAAAUGCGUAGAGAUGUGGAGGAACACCGAUGGCGAAGGCAGCCUUCUGGGCCAACACUGACGCUCAUGCACGAAAGCGUGGGGAGCAAACAGG
rnacentral:rRNA from 1 species